GAUGAACGCUGGCGGCGUGCUUAACACAUGCAAGUCGAACGGAAAGGCCCUGCUUUUGCGGGGUGCUCGAGUGGCGAACGGGUGAGUAACACGUGAGUAACCUGCCCUUGACUUUGGGAUAACUUCAGGAAACUGGGGCUAAUACCGGAUAGGAGCUCCUGCUGCAUGGUGGGGGUUGGAAAGUUUCGGCGGUUGGGGAUGGACUCGCGGCUUAUCAGCUUGUUGGUGGGGUAGUGGCUUACCAAGGCUUUGACGGGUAGCCGGCCUGAGAGGUUGGCCGGACACAUUGGAACUGAAAUGCGGCCCAGACUCCUACGGUAGGCAACGGUGGAGAAUAGUGCACUAUGGGCGGAGGCCUGAUGCAGCAACGCCGCGUGGGGGAAGACGGCCUUCAGGUUGUAAACCGCUUUCGCAUGUGACGAAGCGUGAGUGACGGUAAUGGGUAAAGAAGCACCGGCUAACUACGUG
rnacentral:rRNA from 1 species